rnacentral:rRNA from 1 species
AACGUAGGAGACCAACGUUAUCCGGAGUUACUGGGCGUAAAGGGCGUGUAGGCGGUUAGUUAAGUCUGGCGUGAAAGCUCUCGGCUAAACCGGGAGAGGUCGUUGGAUACUGGCUGACUAGAGGACGGUAGAGGCGUGUGGAAUUCCGGGUGUAGUGGUGAAAUGCGUAGAGAUCCGGAGGAACACCAGUGGCGAAGGCGACACGCUGGGCCGUACCUGACGCUAAAGCGCGACAGCAUGGGGAGCAAACGGG